rnacentral:rRNA from 1 species
AAUGCAUAGGAAUCUGCCCGGUAGUGGGGGAUAACCUGAGGAAACUCAGGCUAAUACCGCAUACGUCCUACGGGAGAAAGCAGGGGCUCUUCGGACCUUGCGCUAUCGGAUGAGCUUAUGUCGGAUUAGCUGGUUGGUGAGGUAACGGCUCACCAAGGCGACGAUCCGUAGCUGGUCUGAGAGGAUGAUCAGCCACAUCGGGACUGAGACACGGCCCGAACUCCUACGGGAGGCAGCAGUGGGGAAUAUUGGACAAUGGGGGCAACCCUGAUCCAGCCAUGCCGCGUGUGUGAAGAAGGCCCUCGGGUUGUAAAGCACUUUCAGUGAGGAAGAAGGCUUGUCGGUUAAUACCCGGCAAGAAAGACAUCACUCACAGAAGAAGCACCGGCUAACUCCGUGCCAGCAGCCGCGGUAAUACGGAGGGUGCGAGCGUUAAUCGGAAUUACUGGGCGUAAAGCGUGCGUAGGCGGCUUGAUAAGCCGGUUGUGAAAGCCCCGGGCUCAACCUGGGAACGGCAUCCGGAACUGUCAGGCUAGAGUGC